rnacentral:rRNA from 1 species
AGCGAACGCUGGCGGCAGGCUUAACACAUGCAAGUCGAACGCCCCGCAAGGGGAGUGGCAGACGGGUGAGUAACACGUGGGAGCGUACCCUUUGGUUCGGAAUAACUUGGGGAAACUCAAGCUAAUACCGGAUAAGCCCUUAGGGGGAAAGGUUUACUGCCGAAGGAUCGGCCCGCGUCUGAUUAGCUAGUUGGUGAGGUAAUGGCUCACCAAGGCGACGAUCAGUAGCUGGUCUGAGAGGAUGAUCAGCCACACUGGGACUGAGACACGGCCCAGACUCCUACGGGAGGCAGCAGUGGGGAAUAUUGGACAAUGGGGGCAACCCUGAUCCGGCCAUGCCGCGUGAGUGAUGAAGGCCUUAGGGUUGUAAAGCUCUUUUACCCGGGACGAUAAUGACUGUACCGGGAGAAUAAGCCCCGGCUAACUUCGUGCCAGCAGCCGCGGUAA